CCAGCAGCCGCGGUAAUACGGAGGGGGUUAGCGUUGUUCGGAAUUACUGGGCGUAAAGCGCGCGUAGGCGGACUAGUCAGUCAGGGGUGAAAUCCCGGGGCUCAACCCCGGAACUGCCUUUGAUACUGCUAGUCUAGAGUUCGAGAGAGGUGAGUGGAAUUCCGAGUGUAGAGGUGAAAUUUGUAGAUAUUCGGAGGAACACCAGUGGCGAAGGCGGCUCACUGGCUCGAUACUGACGCUGAGGUGCGAAAGUGUGGGGAGCAAACAGGAUUAGAUACCCUGGUAGUCCACACCGUAAACGAUGAAUGCCAGUCGUCGGGUAGCAUGCUAUUCGGUGACACACCUAACGGAUUAAGCAUUCCGCCUGGGGAGUACGGUCGCAAGAUUAAAACUCAAAGGAAUUGACGGGGGCCCGCACAAGCGGUGGAGCAUGUGGUUUAAUUCGAAGCAACGCGCAGAAUCUUACCAACCCUUGACAUCCUCGGACAACUCCAGAGAUGAGCCUUCCUUCGGGACCGAGUGACAGGUGCUGCAUGCUGUCGUCAGCUCGUGUCGUGUUAAGUCCGGCAACGAGCGCAACCCACAUCUUUAGUUGCCAUCAGUUCGGCUGGGCACUCUAAAGAAACUGCCCGUGAUAAGCGGGAGGAAGGUGUGGAUGACGUCAAGUCCUCAUGGCCCUUACGGGUUGGGCUACACACGUGCUACAAUGGCUGUGACAAUGGGUUAAUCCCAAAAAGCAGUCUCAGUUCGGAUUGUCGUCUGCAACUCGACGGCAUGAAGUCGGAAUCGCUAGUAAUCGCGUAACAGCAUGACGCGGUGAAUACGUUCCCGGGCCUUGUACACACCGCCCGUCACACCAUGGGAGUUGGUUCUACCCGACGGCCGUGCGCUAACCUUUCGAGGAGGCAGCGGACUACGGUAGGAUCAGCGACUGGGGUGAAGUCGUAACAAGGUAGCCGAU
rnacentral:rRNA from 1 species